GGGGCCGCGGGGGCCCUGGGCGCUGGGGGCCGGCGAGGGGAGGCCAGGGAUGUGGGGCGAGGACCCAGGAGCCCGCGGAGGAGCGAGGCGAAGCAGCCCCACUGUGGUCUGGGAGAGAAUGAAGUUCUUUGUCUCUAAGGGAUCCAGACCAGAAACGGAGGGACCGCUGGUUCCCAGAGGGAGGAAAAUCCAUGAUGUCUGCUGCCUAGGGAGUUCUUGCCACAACCUCCCUGGAAUGAAGGAUUGCCAACUACCGACAGUUCUUUCUCAACGGCCGUCUCUCCAGCCUUCUUAAGUCACUUCUAGCAUCUGCUGGAGGUUCCUGAAGAGUCGAUGCAAAAAUCUCAGAAGGAAUUUUUAUCACUUUUAA